rnacentral:rRNA from 1 species
GAUGAACGCUGACAGAAUGCUUAACACAUGCAAGUCGAUGGGGAAGUGGUGCUUGCACCCUGGUAACCAUGGCGGACGGGUGAGUAACGCGUAAGGAACUUACCUGCGGGACCGGGUUAACAGCAGGAAACUGCUGACAAGACCGGAUAAGGUCAUUAAGCUGCAUAGCUUAGUGAUGAAAGGAGACGCCUGCGGAGAGCCUUGCGUCCUAUUAGCUAGUUGGAGGGGUAACGGCCCACCAAGGCGAAGAUAGGUAGCCGGCCUGAGAGGGUGGACGGCCACAAGGGGACUGAGAUACGGCCCUUACUCCUACGGGAGGCAGCAGUGGGGAAUAUUGGACAAUGGGGGCAACCCUGAUCCAGCAAUUCUGUGUGCACGAAGACGGUUUUCGGAUUGUAAAGUGCUUUCAGCAGGGAAGAAGGAAGUGACGGUACCUGCAGAAGAAGCGACGGCUAAAUACGUG